ACACAGUGUAGCUACUCUGCAGUGUUACGCUGCAGAUGCAAAUGCGGUAGUCAUCCGCGGAUUCCAUGCGCACAGAGCCGCCGCGCACAGUGUACGUUAAUCGUCGCUCUGUUAGGUAUGCGGCGUAGAGCGCGGCACGCACUGGAACGCGGCCUGUCAGCUCACAGAUUGCGCUGAGCUUUAUAAAGCCACGGCCACACGACAACAGCCCGGCUGUUACACAGAAACCUCUCUGCAGCGUUGCCAAGGCAACGGCUACCGAAAGCCAUGACAACCAGGGUACUCUCAUCCUCUAUCAGUCUUCUUUUCUUUGUCUGAACUCCUGUUUUCGCGCACACCUUUACAUCCGGCGCGUUUCCUCGAGUAAUUUCGCUCUUUAACUCCCAUCUCCUCUCUACACGCGCAUCUUCACCUCCCCUUCUUCCAUCUUUUUUUACGUCCCCUCCCUCCGUGAGCGCGCGCGCUCGCUCGCUCGCGCUCUCUACAUCUUCCGCCGCUUCGGUCCGUUCCCUCUUUCUUUUCUCCCCCUCUUCGCCACCUCUCGUCUCUGCACUCACCCUCCCCUGCCCAAUCCCUUUCAGCUGCUCGCAUCCUCUCCUCCAUCUCUCCGUUUCGUCUUUUUUGUACCUCCCCUCAUCGAUACGAACGCGUCCCUCUCCUCGUUUGCCAAAUCCUGAAAGCAGACCUCUCUUAUUCUCUCUCUCUCUCCGUCCCUCCCCCUUCCUCUUUACGUUUCCCCCUCCCUCCAUACCAUAUUUUCCUCAAUGCUUAAGUCAGUCAAAAGAGACACACUGAAGAAAAGAGGGGCGAACGGCGGGCGCUGAGAGAGAGAAAGAGAGAAGGAGAGAAGCUGGAGGGAGAGAGGGGAGAGGGGGGAACGGGGGUUUGGAUACAUCUCCACCUGUCUUCUCUCUGCCAUGGACUGCCUCUGCAUAGUGACCACAAAGAAAUAUCGGUAUCAGGAUGAAGAGACUCCGCCCCUGGAGCACAGCCCCGCCCACCUGGCUCACAGCAAGAGCGCUGAGAUGCUUCACAUGAGUGAUAAGAACCUGGCUGCCAUGGACACCCUGCACAGUUACGGCCCACACACACACAUCUCACCAAUAAAGCCAGUGUUGCUGUCCUCUGGUCAAACCCCUCUGUACACCUCUGCGGUCUCCACACUGGGGAACUCUCCUCCAGUGGUGGUAAAUACUGACACACUGGACGGCUCACCGUAUGUCAAUGGAGCAGAAGGAGAGAUUGAAUAUGAAGAGAUUACGCUGGAAAGGGGAAACUCUGGGCUAGGCUUCAGUAUUGCCGGAGGGACUGAUAAUCCUCAUGUCGGAGACGACCCCAGCAUCUUCAUCACUAAGAUCAUUCCUGGAGGAGCCGCCGCACAAGACGGGAGACUCAGAGUAAACGACAGCAUUCUCUUCGUGAAUGACGUCGAUGUUCGGGAGGUGACACACAGUCAGGCGGUGGAGGCGCUCAAGGAGGCGGGUGCUAUCGUCAGACUCUAUGUAUUACGCAGGAAACCCGUUGCUGAGAAAGUCACCGAAAUCAAGCUCAUCAAAGGGCCAAAAGGGCUAGGCUUCAGUAUAGCGGGUGGUGUGGGGAACCAGCACAUCCCUGGAGACAACAGCAUUUAUGUCACAAAGAUCAUCGAGGGAGGAGCGGCUCAUAAGGACGGGCGACUACAGAUCGGUGAUAAGAUACUGGCGGUGAAUAAUGUGUGUUUGGAGGACGUGAUGCAUGAGGACGCGGUGGGCACGCUGAAGAACACAGCAGAGGUGGUCUACCUCAGAGUGGCCAAGCCAACCAACCUGUACCUUACCAGCACCUACAACCCACCAGACCUCACGACGUACUCUCCGCAUAUGGACACGGACCUCGGACAUCCGAACUUCCUGGCCUCGGAUUACCCACAAGCCCUCACUCCCACCUCACCAAGCCGCUUUUCUCCAGUGCUGCAUGGCUUGAUGGGAGAGGAUGACUUACCCAGGGACCCGAGGCGUGUUGUGAUCCACAGAGGAUCGACGGGUUUGGGCUUUAAUAUAGUUGGAGGGGAGGAUGGCGAGGGAAUAUUCAUCUCUUUCAUCCUGGCAGGAGGCCCUGCGGACCUGAGCGGAGAACUGCGCAAAGGAGAUCAGAUCUUGAGCGUGAGAACAUGCAGACACAUAUACAUAUACUCACAUAUGAAGAAACGUUUAAAAAACAUUAUUUUUCUACUCUCAUAUUGUUACAGUCGAUUUGAAGCUAAAAUUCAUGAUCUCCGAGAGCAGCUGAUGAACAGCAGUAUGGGCUCUGGAACAACUACAUUACGAAGUAACACUAAACGAGGAUUUUAUAUCAGGGCUCUGUUUGACUAUGAUAAGACGGCAGACUGUGGUUUCCUGAGUCAGGCCGUGGGCUUUAGGUUUGGAGAUGUGCUGCAUGUUUUGGACUGUGGAGAUGAGGAGUGGUGGCAGGCCUGCAGAGUCAGCCCACAGGGGGACGAGGAGGAGGUCGGCUUCAUCCCCAGCAAGAGGAGGGUUGAGAGAAAAGAGUGGACGCGGUUGAAGUCCAAAGAAAGGGUAAGAAAGUCUCUCUCGUGUGUCGCACCCUGUUUAGUGCACUACGCGAGGCCCAUCAUUAUUCUGGGCCCGGUGAAGGACAGAGUGAAUGAUGACCUGCUGUCUGAGUUCCCAGACAAGUUUGGCUCUUGUGUCCCUCAUACGACACGACCCAAGCGGGAGUAUGAGGUGGAUGGGCGGGACUAUCAUUUUGUGUCGUCACGGGAACAGAUGGAGAAAGACAUCCAGAACCAUCGUUUCAUCGAGGCGGGCCAGUACAACAGCCACCUGUACGGAACCAGCGUUCAGAGCGUCCGAGAGGUGGCCGAACAGGGAAAGCAUUGUAUUCUGGAUGUGUCCGCAAAUGCAGUUCGUAGGCUACAAGCUGCACAGCUUCACCCGAUUGCCAUCUUCGUGCGGCCCAAAUCACUGGAGAACGUCCUAGAGAUCAACACACGUCUAACUGAGGAACAAGCCAGGAAAGGUAUGGACCGCGCUAUUAAACUGGAGCAAGAUUUCCUGGAGUGCUUCUCUGCAAUCGUGGAGGGCGACAGCUUCGAGGAGGUUUAUCACAAGGUGAAAACUGUGAUCGAGGAGCAGUCAGGGCCUUAUAUCUGGAUUCCCACCAGGGAGCGUCUGUGA
ensembl:lncRNA